GGAUAACACCAAGAAACACUACAGCAGGAGAAAGAAGAACGUUUCAGUGGGAUCAACAAGAGGACAAACCUCAAGAGGAAAAAGUGAGCAGUCAUUCUGAUCAAGUGGUUCUCAACAGUUCAACAGUUCUUUGAGAAAAUUGUGAAAUGUUUAGGACCACUUGGGCAGUUGGACACUUGCUGCCAUCUUUGURAAAAGGGGGAACAUCUCCGAAGGCCCGACUCCGAACAGUGUUGGAACAAGUGUGCGAUUAUUCAUUUCCUGCUUUUGUUGCUUUUUAAUGUCAUUUCGCCACACCUGCAGUCUUUGGGGGAACUGUGGGGGGGCUGUAAAAAUCAUUAGGCUUCAGUAAUUUCAUCCUGCUGGCACACGUGCAAAAAUUUAACAGCUCUGCUGCUGCAGCAAGGCUUGUGUUUUCACCGCUUUUUCUGUCGCUGCUGUUCAGAGGUACUGAUUAAAACAAGUCAAUAAAGAUCCAUUUGUCUCUGAUGAGUCUGUGGGGGGUGAUGGACCUUUGGUUUGCAGGGAUUGUCCCUGUCCAAAAAAUGGGGGAAAUUAGUUUCAAUGUAAAAUAUGCACACUCGUAAUGUCAUUAAUGACAAAUUUAACACUAGAGAUAGAUUUGAUCUUAAACGAAUCAAUAACUUAUUAAAGAUGUGUCAUACAUG